GAGAAAGUAGUUUUAUCAGGUAAAGCGAAUGAUUAGAGGCUUUGGGGAAGAAACUUCCUCGACCUAUUCUCAAACUUUAAAAUAGGUAAGAUUUUGAAGGAUACUUAAGUGAUCUUUCAAUCUCUUGAAUAUAAAGUUCUUAGUGGGCCAUUUUUGGUAAGCAGAACUGGCGAUGUGGGAUGAACCGAACGUUAAGUUAAAGUGCCAAAUAAUACGCUCAUGAGAUACCAUAAAAGGUGUUGGUUCAUUUUGACAGCAGGACGGUGGCCAUGGAAGUCGGAACCCGCUAAGGAGUGUGUAACAACUCACCUGCCGAAUGAACUAGCCCUGAAAAUGGAUGGCGCUUAAGCGUAUAACUUAUACUUAACCCUUACUUGAAUUAUAAUAGCGAGUAAGGAGUAGGAGGGCG
rnacentral:rRNA from 1 species